GAUGAACGCUGGCGGCAUGCCUAACAUAUGCAAGUUGAACGAGAAGUUCCGGAACAAGUCUUCGGACAAGGGAAGGGACGGAAAGUAGCGAACGGGUGAGUAACGCGUGGGCAACCAACCUUACACUGGGGGAUAACACAGAGAAAUUUGUGCUAAUACCGCAUAAGCGCACAGGAUCACAUGAUCUGGUGUGAAAAACUCCGGUGGUGUAAGACGGGCCCGCGUCUGAUUAGCUAGUUGGUGAGGUAAAGGCUCACCAAGGCGACGAUCAGUAGCCGACCUGAGAGGGUGAUCGGCCACAUUGGGACUGAGACACGGCCCAAACUCCUACGGGAGGCAGCAGUGGGGGAUAUUGCACAAUGGAGGGAACUCUGAUGCAGCAAUGCCGCGUGAAGGAAGAAGGUUUUCGGAUUGUAAACUUCUAUCAGCAGGGAAGAAAAUGACGGUACCUGACUAAGAAGCCCCGGCUAACUAUGUGCCAGCAGCCGCGGUAAUACAUAGGGGGCAAGCGUUAUCCGGAAUGACUGGGUGUAAAGGGUGCGUAGGCGGUAAGGUAAGUCUGAUGUGAAAGACUGGGGCUCAACUCCAGGGGUGCAUUGGAAACUAUGUUACUAGAGUACAGGAGAGGGAAGCGGAAUUCCUAGUGUAGCGGUGAAAUGCGUAGAUAUUAGGAGGAACACCGGUGGCGAAGGCGGCUUUCUGGACUGAAACUGACGCUGAGGCACGAAAGCGUGGGGAGCAAACAGG
rnacentral:rRNA from 1 species